GCCGGGCGCGGUGGCUCACGCCUGUAAUCCCAACACUUUGGGAGGCUGAGGCAGGUGGAUCACCUGAGGUCAGGAGUUUGAGACCAGCCUGGCCAACAUGGUGAAACCCUGUCUCUA
rfam:Gorilla gorilla gorilla genomic chromosome, chr18, whole genome shotgun sequence